rnacentral:lncRNA from 12 species
AUUUUUCUGAAGUCCAAUUGUNNNNNNNNNNACAGCUCUCCAGGCCGCCUUUCCGGAAGCGGCUUGGGCCCCCCAGCGCCGGCGCGGCCCGGUGGCCCUGACCCCCGGCAGGUCGUCAGCAGACCCAGGCCCAACCCGAAGUGCACCCCGGCAGCUCCCGCCGGGCACCCAGCAGGCCCAGCUUCGCCGGUGGACCUGGGUGGCCCCCUGCGCUGGCAGGGCCGGCCCUUACCACACUCGCACCGCCUCCCCGGCACCGUCCUGGAUGUGAGUCGGGGGUCAGGAUGUGGGUUUCCACCCAGGUUACUGCUUCUGGGUCGGCCGACGAGAAGCUCGGGCAUCGGCCCGGCCGGUGGAGGGCCCUGCUCCCACCCACCCCCGCCAAGCUGCCCCCUGGAGCCCCGCCACCGUGCCUGGGGAGAGAGGAGGAGACAAGAGCCAGAGGAGGGGGCAGCACCGGAGCCACUCUCACCGAGGGAAGGCUCGUCAAGGAGGAUUUUUACAGCAGCUGAAUGUUUUCACACAUUUGUAAAGGGUAUGAAGAGCAUGUAUGAAGAUCUAUCACUCUUUCUUCUGUUUGCAAAUACGCUGCAGACAGGCACAGAGCACUGAGGCGGAGGGGCCAGGCCGCGGGGGAUCUUCUCGGAGGCUUUGGAUACCCUGUGCAUGGCUUCGGGACACCGGCCCCGCGGUUCUCUUCCCAGAGAACAGAGAAGGAGUGGGCUGUGGUUGCAAACCGGGGAUUCACUCCACAGACUCGUGCACGCUAGGGAAGGAUCCAAGACGUGUCUUGGCAAGCCAGGUCUGGCAGUGUGACGUACAGGGAGUUGGAGGGGGAGAGAAACUGUUGGUGGAGAGAUCAUUCUGGAGAUUUUCCUUUUAUAAUUCUUCCAUAUGUAAGAAUAACCCCAGCGACCCCACGGAAGGAUGA